rnacentral:rRNA from 1 species
GCCCUUGGAAGGGGUGUAUUUAUUAGAUUAAAAACCAAUGCCAUUCGGGGCUCACUGGUGAUUCAUGAUAACUCCUNGAAUCGCAUGGCCUUGUGCCGGCGAUGGUUCAUUCAAAUUUCUUCCCUAUCAACUUUCGAUGUUUGGGUAUUGGCCAAACAUGGUUGCAACGGGUAACGGAGGGUUAGGGCUCGACCCCGGAGAAGGAGCAUGAGAAACGGCUAAUACAUCCAAGGAAGGCAGCAGGCGCGCAAAUUACCCAAUCCCGACACGGGGAGGUAGUGACAAUAAAUACUGAUACAGGGCUCUUUUGGGUCUUGUAAUUGGAAUGAGUACAAUUUAAAUCCCUUAACGAGGAACAAUUGGAGGGCAAGUCUGGUGCCAGCAGCCGCGGUAAUUCCAGCUCCAAUAGCGUAUAUUAAAGUUGUCGUGGUUAAAAAGCUGGUAGUUGAACCUUGGGCCUGGCUGGCCGGUCCGCCUCACCGCGUGUAAUGGUCCGGCCGGGCCUUUCCCUCCGUGGAACCCCAUGCCCUUCACUGGGUGUGGCGGGGAACCAGGACUUUUACAAGGGC